GCCUCGGCGGUGGAUGGUCCACAUCUGCGUCUCAUACAAAAUCCAUAUCUGUGGGCAAAAAAACCAGCAGAAAUCGUCUGUUCGAAUCAGGCCUGAGGCA